AUUGAACGCUGGCGGCAGGCCUAACACAUGCAAGUCGAGCGGCGCGGCGGACGGGUGAGUAAUGCCUAGGUAUCUGCCUGGUAGUGGGGGAUAGCGUCCGGUACCGGGCGCUAUUACUGCACACUAUCAGAUGAGCCUUGGUCGGAUUAGCUAUAUGGUGGGGUAAAGGCCUACCAAGGCAACGAUCCGUAACUGGUCUGAGAGGACGACCAGCCACACUGGGACUGAGACACGGCCCAGACUCCUACGGGAGGCAGCAGUGGGGAAUAUUGGACAAUGGGGGAAACCCUGAUCCAGCCAUGCCGCGUGUAUGAAGAAGGCCUUCGGGUUGUAAAGUACUUUUGGCAGAGAAGCGGUAUCUGCAGAAUAAGCACCGGCUAACUACGUGCCAGCAGCCGCGGUAAUUC
rnacentral:rRNA from 1 species